UUUACCUACGGGGCGCAGCAGUGAGGAAUAUUGGUCAAUGGCCGGAAGGCUGAACCAGCCAAGUCGCGUGAGGGACGACUGCCCUAUGGGUUGUAAACCUCUUUUAUAAGGGAAGAAUAAAUGCUACGUGUAGCAUGAUGCCUGUACCUUAUGAAUAAGCAUCGGCUAACUCCGUGCCAGCAGCCGCGGUAAUACGGAGGAUGCGAGCGUUAUCCGGAUUUAUUGGGUUUAAAGGGUGCGUAGGCGGUUUUUUAAGUUUGUGGUUAAAAGUCGGGGCUUCACCUUGCUUUUCCAUUAAUACUGUA
rnacentral:rRNA from 1 species